AGCUCCAAUAGCGUAUAUUAAAGUUGCUGCAGUUAAAAAGCUCGUAGUUGCAUUUCCGAGGCAAGGGAUUAGUCCGACCUUUGGUGGGUAUUUAAUCCUCUUGCCUCGUCCUUGAGUGGUGCUUCUUGGUAUUAAGUUAUCGAGGAGAUAGCCGCUCAUCGUUUACUGUGAGAAAAUUAGAGUGUUCAAAGCAGGCUUAUGCCGUUGAAUAUAUUAGCAUGGAAUAAUAAGAUAGGACCUCGGUACUAUUUUGUUGGUUUGAGAACCAAGGUAAUGAUGAAUAGGGACAGUUGGGGGUAUGCGGAUUCAGUUGUCAGAGGUGAAAUUCUUAGAUUUACGGAAGACGAACUACUGCGAAAGCAUUUACCAAGGAUGUUUUCA
rnacentral:rRNA from 1 species